UUUUUUUUUUUUUUUCUCACUCUUCAAUGCAGGCUUUUAGUCUCUCACUCUGGUUUGUACAAACAAUUGGGUCUGCACAUUGCAUGAAAAUAGAAGAAGUUUAAGGUUUGCUUAGUUUCGAGACUAUUUAACCUUAACUAGUGGUAAAGGAACAAGAAGCUCUCUGUGUGGCCUGGCUUGGCUUACUAUGCUCUGCCAUGUGAAAUUUGAGGCCAAAGUGCCAGAUGAUACUAAAGAGGGGCUUUGUCCUCCUUUGUCUUUAUCAUCUGUUUAUCCUAGGAACCUCAACAUGGUCAAGCAUGGCUGGGCCGAGGCGGGUUUCCAGGCCAAUCUAUAUUUUUGCUGUCAUACAAAUGCUAUUCUUGAACAGGAUCCCAAACCUACUGCCCCCAAAGAGUUGGAAAUGGAAAAUUAAAUUAUCCCAUCUUCUGAUCUUGCAGCCCUGAUGUCAUCUUCAAUUCAUCUUUUUAUUUUGUCUUCCAUUCGAUCAGCCCCUUAAGUCCUGUUAAUUCUAUCUUACCAAUCCCUUUUAUAUACCACCUUCGCUUGUCUCAGCCCCGCUAGCAUCACUGGCAUCUUUUACAUGCUCACCAUCUUACAUGUGGGUUAUUUAAGCAAUUUCCUAACUGGACAUUCUCAGUCUAUCCUCAUGGUACCCCUAAAUGUGCUUCAUAACACACCACUCAAAUCUUGUCUUCUCCUUACUCAGGAACUCCAUGGGUGCAUUAUUUAUAUCAGAAUCCCUAGGCUGGGACCAACAGACCAAGUCCGGCUUGCUGAAAUGCAAUGUUUUUCAAAAUUGGCUACCAAAGGGGAAAGGUUGGGGGGGAUCAAUUGGGAGCUUAGGGUGGCAUAUGCACACUAUGGUAUAUGGAAUGGAUGUCAGUGGGGACCUGCUGUACCGCACAGGGAACUGUACUCAGUGUUCUGUGAUAACCUAUACGGCAAUGGAUGUGUGUAUAUGUAAAACUGAAUCACUUUGCUAUACAGCAGAAAUUAACACAACCUUGUAAAUGAACUAUACUUCGAUAAAAUAUAAAAAUAAAAAAGAAAUACACUGCUUUUGGUUAAUAAUUAAAGAUAGAAAUGAACAAAACUGGCAUGGAUAUUCAAAUAUUGGGAAGGUCCUAGGAAAGAUCGAUUUCCAGACUUACCUGAAAAUUUAAAAGAUGUGAUGACCAUGUAUCAAAAUUUCCGAAUGGCAGUUCUCAGCUGGAGGUAAUUUGGGGGGUUUUAAGUGAUCAGUGCACCCUCAAAGUCACUUUAAAGUCCCCUCUCCACACAAUGGAUGCAUGUGUAUGUUCCCUGGCAAAUUUUCUGCUCACAGGCUGAUUCCUCUUAGCGAGAUUGGAUUCUCUCUCAUGAAUGAAAUCCAGACUUCUUAAUCUGGUGUUUGAGGACUCGACAACUGUGGUAAGCUAAGCAAUAUCCUCACGUUAUGUCCAUGCCCUAAUCCUCAGAAGCUGUGAAUGGAUUCUUUAGCAUAGCAGAAGGCACUUUGUGGUUAUGAUUAUGUUAAGGGGUUUGAGAUAGGGAUAUUAUCCUAUAUCCUGCAUGGACCCAGGUUAAUCUUGAGGAUCCUUAAAAGAGGGAGGCAGGAGGAACACAGGUCAGAGAGAGCAGAUUGAACACUCUUCUUCCAGUGCCAUGUCAUUUUCAGAUGCCUAUAAUUUGCCUGAACAUCUAUUGGAUUGUUCACUUCCCUACCUCCAUGAGUCCAGAGUCUCCCCAGCUUCCAAAUGCCACCUCCUUUUGGGAUUUUACUCCUUUCCAUCCUUGGAAUUUUACCUGGUAAGAGAGUUUCAUGUUUUAAUCUCACCUACCUACCAUUUUAUCACAUUCUUACAAUGCACCAUGCUGUGUAUUUUUACCUUACCUUAAUUAUCUUAUACAACUCUUUCAAUGCCAGCUCCUGCAUGAGGAUACCCAUAUGCCAGCACCUCAGCCUGCAAUCCCAAGUCCUGCCAGGGCCUCUUAAAAUUCCAGAAGAUGCCCACACAACCCCUGGAAGAAGGCUUUGGGCUAUGUAGGUAAGGCGUUCCAUUUACACAGAGUAUGGAUUAGAAGUUGGGCAUGGGUUCUGGUUAUGCAUUGCCUUAAAACCCUUAGCCUUUGAGAAAGGGCACAGCCAGAUGAGGGCCAGAGUAGAACUCUCCCAAGCAUAUAGCCUGGGUCAGAGCUUUCUCUUUUCUGGUCUAUGGGAAGUAAUUUAGAAGUCUCAUUUUUAUAGCUUGCUUCUCAACCAGUUCUGAAAGAACUACAAUCAGAGGAGGGAAUAGAAAGGAGACUUGAGUUUCCUUCCUGCAUACUGUAUGCUUGAUAUCAAGCUGAGGGCUCUACACAUGUUCUCUCACCUGAUCCUCAAGACCUUUGAGAAAGAUACUGAAUUCAGAUUCAAAAAGUAGAUUCCAGGUAGCAUAAGUUAUUUGGUCAAUGUCACAUGACCUAUAAAUGGUAGAGUUGGGAUUUGAACUCAUACCUGUCCAACCUGAACUGCCAUGCUUAUUUGUCAAUGCACUGACUCAUUUAAGUGUUUUAUUGAGGACCUAAUAUUUGGCAGGGAUUUCACAGAUUGCUGGAGAUACGAUGUGAGAAAAUCGGAUAUUGUCUAUGACCUCAUGGAGUUUCCAAUCUCCCGAGACCAUCACAGAAGCAAGUAGCAUUUCCAUUUGACAUUUGCUAACGGAAGCAGGUAGUACACUUUCGUUUCAUGAUGUCAACUCAAAGCGCUAAGGGCAGACCUUAGGAGGGUAUGACAAGCUGUGGGAAAGCAUGCUUUCAAGAGUAGGGAAGGACUUAGGACCUCUCAAAUCAUGUUAGAUCAGGCUAUUAAGCCCCAUUUAUAAGACUACCCAACUUACAGAAAUAUACUAUCAGCACAUGCUCCUGAAUAUAACCCUGCAUUAUGGGGCUUAUAGAGUGUUUGCUUAUUGCACUUCUCAGAGUAGAAUUGUCACUAUUAGAAAACUUGCAAGUGUUUGGUGGUGUGAUAGAAUUAAAUUUAUUAACUUACUGUGGCAUUGAACUUGCUCUAUCAUCAGGACAAACAUGAACAUUAUAUUUAGCAUGAUAUUUUGGAAGUGUUCAGGUAAAGUAUAACCUACUGAAACCCAGUCUCAGUCAGGCAGGUUGACACCAGUUUUUGCAAAGGUUUUUGUUAUUGUUUGUUAGUUUUGGUUUUUAAUUAUACACAGAAGAGCGACAAUGUAAGGUAAGUUGUUCAAGGUCACAGAGCAAAUCGAGGGCCAAGGUGGAUAAGGAUGUAGAAAUGAAGGGUUAUAAACUUCUGACUCCUGAAUGUGUGUGUGUGUGUGUGUGUGUGUGUGUGUGUGUGUGUGUGUGUGUAAUCCUUCACUCUGCCUUUCAUUUAACAUUUGACAAAGAAAGAAGAAAAGACUUGAGGAUCUGCAUAUGGUGUGAGGAGUGAGUUCAGUUCUGCUUUUAAUUGAAAGCUCUGAGGGCCAAGCUUGCAGAGCCGGGUAACAGCUGUAGUGCACGCCACUGCCCCGUCACGCUUGUGUUGCCAUAAUAGACAGGCUUAUUAUUUUUUAAUUAGGAGCUUCAGUGUUUUGUUAAACUGCAAAUGUGUCAGGACCUGGGGAUUUGGUUUUACACUCAACCGUCUUGCAUUUAAUCUUUCUGGAAGCUUUUGGGAGACGCAGGGUCAGUUUGUAAAAGGCAUUUCGUUAUUGUGGAAUAACAAUAGUUAACAUUCACUGUGCAUUUGCCAUUUUCCAGGCAUUAGGGUGAAUACUAUUUGAAUUCAUUUAUCAACUAACCCACCAACCACUGAACCGAUACAUAUUCCUUGAGCUCCCAUCAUGGAUCAGUGGCGAUGUUAGGCAUUUUGGUGGAUAGAUAAGAGAUGAAUAAAGCCCAUCCAGAAUCACUCCUCUGGGACGUUAUAAAAACAUAAAAUAUACAUGUAUAUAAAUGGCAUAGAAAAUGCUCUGUGAUUAGCACUGUCAGGGAAGAAUAGUUCAGAGUCUUCCUCACAGGCUCACUCAUCCAUCCCCAAAUUCCCUCCAUCUGAAAGCAAGGCACCUCCAACCACCCAUGCACUUGCCUGGGGCACAAUGCUGUGGUCAUUCUGGAUUUCUUCCUUCCCUCCCCCCUUACAUCACAUCUACCACCAAGUACCGCCUAUCUGACCUCUAAAAUAUGCCUCAAAGUCGUCUAUUCUUCUCCUUCCUUCUGGAUCCCAACUUCAGCUUCUUGCCUGUAGUGCCUUCAGUAAACUCUCAAUUGGUUACCACUACCAUUACCACUCUUGCUCCUUCUAAUACAUUCUUCAUGCUCUGGCCAGUGUGAUUUUGCUAAAAUACAGGUCAGAUUAUGUUUCCUUCUGCUCAGGAAUUUUUAGUUAUACCCCACUGCAUCUGUUCAUGCCCUUUAAGGCCCUGACUUACCUGUCCCUCUUCAUUAUUCCCCAGCCCUGUUAAUAUUCUUUGGUUCCUUCCAAGUACCUCAGGUACUUCCAAGGGCUAUUCCCUCUGCCUUGGAUGCUUUGUCAGCAGUUGCUACAUGGCCUUCAUUUUUCAGCUUGAAUUCUCUUUCUCCGUGGAUAUCUCCCCAGCUCUCAAAUUAAAAGCAGAUCUCCAGAUGGCCAAGAGACACACAAAAGGAUGCUUAACCUUGUGAAUUAUUAGAGAAAUGCAAAUCAAAACUAAAAUGAGGUGUUCCAUCGUGGCGCAGUGGUUAACAAAUCCGACUAGGAACCAUGAGGUUGCGGGUUCGAUCCCUGGCCUCACUCAGUGGGUUAAGGAUCCAGUGUUGCCGUGAGCUGUGGUGUAGGUUGCAGACGCGGCUCAGAUCCUGAGUUGCUGUGGCUCUGGUGUAGGCCAGCAGCUACAGCUGCGAUUCAACCCCUAGCCUGGGAUCCUCCAUAUGCCUCGGGAACGGCCUAAGAAAUGCCGAAAAAGACCAAAAAAAAAAAAAAAAAAACUACAACGAGGUAUCACCUCACAUCCAUCAGAAUUUCCAUCAUCAAAAAGUCUACAAAUAAUAAGUGCUGGAGAAGGUAUUGAGAAAAGGGACUCUCCUACACACUAUUAGUGGAAAUGUAAAUUGGUGCAGCCACUAUGGAAAAUAGUAUGGAGUUUCCUUGAUAAAGCUAGAAUUACCACUUCACUUCAGCAAUCUCACUUCUGGGUAUAUAUCUAGAAAAGGCAAAAACUCUAAUUCAAAAAGAUACGUGCACCUCAACGUUCUUCAUAGAAGCGCUAUUAACAACAGCCAAGACAUGGAAGCAACCUAAACCUCCAUCAGCAAGUGAACAGCUAUUCCACUGUGUGCACACACCACUUCUUCUUUAUAUGGUGUGUGUACACAAUGGAAUAUUACUCAGCCAUAAAAAGAAUGAAAUACCAUUUGCAACGAUGAAAAUUGACCUAGAGAUUAUCAUACUAAGUCAGACAAAGACAAAUAUCACAUGAUAUCACUUACGUGUAGAAUCUAAAAAAUAGUACAAAUGAACUUAUUUUCAAAACAGAAACAGAAUCACAGACAUAGAAAACAACCCUCUAGUUACCAAGGGGGAAAGUGAGGGAGGGCUAAGUUAGUAUGGGAUUAACUGAUACACAUUACUAUAUAUAAAAUAGCUAAAUAACAAGGCUUUAAUGUAUGUCACAGGGAACUAUAUUCAAUAUCUAAUAAUAACCUAUAAAAAAUAAUAAAAAAGAAUAUAUAGGAGUUCCCAUAAUGGUGCAACAGAAAGGAACCUGAUUAGUAACCAUGAAGUUGCGGGUUCGAACCCGGGCCUUGCUCAGUGAGUUAAGGAUCCAGCAUUGCCGUGAGCUGUGGUAUAGGUUGCAGACACUGCUUGGAUCUGGUGUAGCUGUAGCUGUGGUGUAGGCUGGCACCUGUAGCUCCGAUUAGACCCCUAGCCUGGGAACCUCCAUAUGCUGUGGGUAUGGCCUUAAAAAGACAAAAGACAAAAAAAAAAGAAUAUAUGUAGAUAUACAAUAUAUAUGCACAUAUAACUGAAUCACUUUACUGUUUACCUGAAACUAACACAAUACUAUAAAUCAACUAUACUUCAAUAAAAAAUUUUGAAAUGGAUAUCUAUUAUCUAUUUUUUAAAUGGAUAUUGAUCAUGCUAUUUCUUUUUCAUAGCACACACUGUGUCCUGUAAUCAUGUAUGUUGCCGUGUAAUUUUUUGUAUAUUACAUAUUUAAUGUCCAUGUCUUGCACCAGAAUUUCAAUUUCACCCAGUCUCAUGUCUAGAACAGAACUGGAGUCAUAUUUGGCGUUCUAUCAAUAUUUGCUGCAGGAAUGAAAGAAUGAAUACAUAAAGAGGGAAUGGAACUUCUGCACAUUCAGAGGAAAGACAGAAACUACGUGUGCUAAUACAGACUAGGUAGGGAUGAGAAGGAAGUGGAAUUGUCAGUUUGAUCCUGAAAGAUCCAGUAAGACUAGAGUCCAUAGACGAUCGGGGAAGGAACUCUGAACAGAAAAUAUAAAUGUAAUUUUUUACUCU
rnacentral:lncRNA from 1 species